AUUUGCUGUCUUCUCGCUCUGUCAUAGUCCGUUACUGUGUUGCGGCAGGAGGCAAGCUAUGAAAAUGCGAGUGAACUAAUCCACUCUGCUGAAUAUUUACAAAUAGUAAUGGAGAGGAUUACAAAGAUGGAUAGUGGACAUAUCAAAGUGGAAGCCAUCUCCCCAUGACUUCUCUUUUGCCCUCUCCCUUCUUCCUCAAUAUGAACACUCCUCCAUCACCAGAUUGGUGAAGAUGGAGGACAGAAAACAGGCACUUUUGAGCCGGUUGCUUCAGUAUGCUGUUGUACAUCAAGUAUUGGUGAAAUUGUCAUAAAGCGCACAUUGGAAAGGAAACCAUACUUGGUAAGAUUAACCACCGCAAUAUUGUUCUUGUUGUGCACUGAUGAUGUUGUUUUGAAGAUUGGUGAGAUUUAAGAGGUUGCUAGAGUACAUUUAAAUCCAAUGCCAGUUUUAAUUUGAAUCUAGAUUUUAUAUUGGAAUGCAAAAUUUGUUCUUUCAAUUGGUGGGGAUACAGUUCAAAUUCAGAAUGUUCAGUCACUAAUUGCGAUAGCUAUCUGGAUUAGUUUACUCAUGGAACUAAGCCAGAAAUUUCAAAAUUUACCAAAAUUGAACUGGCAACUUUGCUAUUAAUGCAAGUAUUUUUGCUUAAUGACUUAAUCACAAAGCAUUGGCCCCCCAUCUCCUUCAUGGGAACUUUCAUAAGGUGUGAAUGAAUUUUGUCAUUCUUAAAUUUCUUUUAAAAGAUAUGAAGAGUCAUGGAUGGAGACGGUUUGGUUUUGCUGAUGUCAUGCUUUGACAAUCAUUUGUAUUCAUAUUUGUAUAAUGUUGGGACUCUUAUUAGUUGUUGGAAUAUUAAACAAGAGGUUAUUAAUAGUGUAGACCAUGAUAUCCCUCUCUUUAGUAAAAGUUUUGAUUCUAACAAGUUCUUGAGUUUUGAAAAUUGAUAUCAUCCUCUUUCUUCUUUUUUUCUUCUCUCACCUUUUUCCCCUCUUGUAUCUUGGUUACUGCACUUAUGUUUGUAACAACUGGUGGAGCAUUCAUUUCCAAGUGUACAUUCUUGUUUCUAUUACUUUUGAAUUCUAAUCGUGUUUAAUAUACAUUGCAAAUUUUCCAUUUCUUUCAGGAAUGUGCUAAAGGCUACUCAAAAUUUCCCAAUUUUAAUUUCAAUGUUUCUCAUCAUGGCGACUUUGUGGCAAUAGCAUCUGAACCUGUUUGCAUUGUUGGGUUGGACAUUGUUUGCUGUGUCAAACCCCAGAAAGAGACAGUUCCAGAAUUCAUUCACAAUUUUACUUCUUAUUUUUCUAGGUUGGAAUGGGAUAAUAUAAUUAAUUCUGGCACCUCUGAUGAAAUUUUGGUUGAGUUUUACAGGUAUGGUGAUUUAUAUCUAUGAAUUUAACAGUCUUCUCAAUUUCUUUUUGCUGCACCUGAUAAUUCAAAUUUCAGGGGUUUUUUUCUCCCCAUGAUGUUCAGAAAUCCACAAUUGCUAGUUAUGCCCACUCUUGAACUUGUAUCGAGUUGAGUAGCCUAGAACAGAGAAGGUAGAGGAAUAGAAUAAUAAGAUCAGGAAUCUUUCAACAUUCAAACCACAGUUACUUGUAUUCACUCUAAAAAAACUAUCACAAUUAUUUGUAUUCUAACACUUGAUUUUUCUCUUGAAAAGUGCUUACUAUAUACUAAUGUCUAAUUAUAUCAUGAAUUCAUGAUAAAAAAAAACUAGUAAUUUCUUAGUCUAAUGAUUCAGUUUCAGUUAUUCUCAAUAGACCAUCUGUAUUAGUUUAAUUAGUGUGAUUGUCUCAUGAUCAUAGCUAAUAAUUUAUGCAAUAGUGGAAAUUUUAAUUGAUCUGGUUCUGGUAUCUGAGGCUAUGUUGGAUUGUUUUUCAUUCUUGAAUUUGCCUUCCGUGUAAUGCUCAUUGGGUCAUUCCUUUUGAUACUUCUGUUACAUGGUGUGAUUCUGUUACGAAUUGGAUGGCUUAUAUGCACUAUUACAUAAAAUUUUUUAACAACUUCAAUGUGUUUUGAUAUUUGCCAAAUAUUCAAGUUAUUCAAUAGUAUUCAAGCGAAAUUGAGUAUCAUUUUACAUGUUUUCUGUAGAUAUUGGUGUCUCAAAGA
rnacentral:misc_RNA from 1 species